AUUGAACGCUGGCGGCAGGCCUAACACAUGCAAGUCGAACGGUAACAGGAAGAAGCUUGCUUCUUUGCUGACGAGUGGCGGACGGGUGAGUAAUGUCUGGGAAACUGCCUGAUGGAGGGGGAUAACUACUGGAAACGGUAGCUAAUACCGCAUAACGUCGCAAGACCAAAGAGGGGGACCUUCGGGCCUCUUGCCAUCGGAUGUGCCCAGAUGGGAUUAGCUAGUAGGUGGGGUAACGGCUCACCUAGGCGACGAUCCCUAGCUGGUCUGAGAGGAUGACCAGCCACACUGGAACUGAGACACGGUCCAGACUCCUACGGGAGGCAGCAGUGGGGAAUAUUGCACAAUGGGCGCAAGCCUGAUGCAGCCAUGCCGCGUGUAUGAAGAAGGCCUUCGGGUUGUAAAGUACUUUCAGCGGGGAGGAAGGGAGUAAAGUUAAUACCUUUGCUCAUUGACGGUACUCGCAGAAGAAGCACCGGCUAACUCCGUG
rnacentral:rRNA from 1 species